UACGUAGGAGGCAAGCGUUGUCCGGAAUUACUGGGCGUAAAGCGCGUGUAGGUGGUGGGACAAGUCUGCUGUGAAAGCGCCUGGCUUAACCGGGCGAGGUCGGCGGAAACUGUUCGACUCGAGGACGGUAGAGGGGGGUGGAAUUCCCGGUGUAGUGGUGAAAUGCGUAGAGAUCGGGAGGAACACCUGUGGCGAAGGCGGCCCCCUGGGCCGGCC
rnacentral:rRNA from 1 species